GGGGGCUUAACACAUGCAAGUCGAGGGGCAGCAUGGUCUUAGCUUGCUAAGGCCGAUGGCGACCGGCGCACGGGUGAGUAACACGUAUCCAACCUGCCGUCUACUCUUGGACAGCCUUCUGAAAGGAAGAUUAAUACAAGAUGGCAUCAUGAGUCCGCAUGUUCACAUGAUUAAAGGUAUUCCGGUAGACGAUGGGGAUGCGUUCCAUUAGAUAGUAGGCGGGGUAACGGCCCACCUAGUCUUCGAUGGAUAGGGGUUCUGAGAGGAAGGUCCCCCACAUUGGAACUGAGACACGGUCCAAACUCCUACGGGAGGCAGCAGUGAGGAAUAUUGGUCAAUGGGCGAGAGCCUGAACCAGCCAAGUAGCGUGAAGGAUGACUGCCCUAUGGGUUGUAAACUUCUUUUAUAAAGGAAUAAAGUCGGGUAUGGAUACCCGUUUGCAUGUACUUUAUGAAUAAGGAUCGGCUAACUCCGUGCCAGCAGCCGCGGUAAUACGGAGGAUCCGAGCGUUAUCCGGAUUUAUUGGGUUUAAAGGGAGCGUAGAUGGAUGUUUAAGUCAGUUGUGAAAGUUUGCGGCUCAACCGUAAAAUUGCAGUUGAUACUGGAUAUCUUGAGUGCAGUUGAGGCAGGCGGAAUUCGUGGUGUAGCGGUGAAAUGCUUAGAUAUCACGAAGAACUCCGAUUGCGAAGGCAGCCUGCUAAGCUGCAACUGACAUUGAGGCUCGAAAGUGUGGGUAUCAAACAGGAUUAGAUACCCUGGUAGUCCACACGGUAAACGAUGAAUACUCGCUGUUUGCGAUAUACUGCAAGCGGCCAAGCGAAAGCGUUAAGUAUUCCACCUGGGGAGUACGCCGGCAACGGUGAAACUCAAAGGAAUUGACGGGGGCCCGCACAAGCGGAGGAACAUGUGGUUUAAUUCGAUGAUACGCGAGGAACCUUACCCGGGCUUAAAUUGCAGAUGAAUUACGGUGAAAGCCGUAAGCCGCAAGGCAUCUGUGAAGGUGCUGCAUGGUUGUCGUCAGCUCGUGCCGUGAGGUGUCGGCUUAAGUGUCAUAACGAGCGCAACCCUUGUUGUCAGUUACUAACAGGUUCCGCUGAGGACUCUGACAAGACUGCCAUCGUAAGAUGUGAGGAAGGUGGGGAUGACGUCAAAUCAGCACGGCCCUUACGUCCGGGGCUACACACGUGUUACAAUGGGGGGUACAGAGGGCCGCUACCACGCGAGUGGAUGCCAAUCCCCAAAACCUCUCUCAGUUCGGACUGGAGUCUGCAACCCGACUCCACGAAGCUGGAUUCGCUAGUAAUCGCGCAUCAGCCACGGCGCGGUGAAUACGUUCCCGGGCCUUGUACACACCGCCCGUCAAGCCAUGGGAGCCGGGGGUACCUGAAGUGCGUAACCGCGAGGAGCGCCCUAGGGUAAAACUGGUGACUGGGGCU
rnacentral:rRNA from 1 species